GUGCUCACUUUGGCAGCACAUAUACUUAAAUUGGAAUGAUACAAAGAAGAUUAGCAUGGCCCCUGCUCAAGGAUGACAUGCAAAUUGGUGAAGCAUUUCAUGUUUUU
ensembl:snRNA U6 U6 spliceosomal RNA